rnacentral:tRNA from 1 species
GGAUUGAUGGCUCAGUGGGUAAAGAAUCUGCCUGCAAUGCAGGAGACACAGGAGACGUGGGUGCAGGUUCAAUCCC